rnacentral:piRNA from 1 species
UGUUGGUUGCUUUUGGUCUUAUAAACAGUGU